GGACUACUCGGGUAUCUAAUCCCGUUUGCUCCCCUAGCUUUCGCGCACUCAGCGUCAGAAAAGGUCCAGUCGCGCGCUUUCGCCACCGGCGUUCCUGCCAAUAUCAACGCAUUUCACCGCUCCACUGGCAGUUCCCGCGACCCCUACCUCCCUCGAGCUCGGCAGUAUCCAUGGCCAUUUUCCGGUUGAGCCGAAAGAUUUCACCACAGACUUGCCAAGCCGCCUACGCGCCCUUUAAGCCCAGUGAAUCCGAACAACGUUUGCACGGUUCGUCUUACCGCGGCUGCUGGCAC
rnacentral:rRNA from 1 species